GGAGUGGUCCUCUGGGCUAAGCUUACUUUAUGAGCUACAUUGAAGCGAAACUUUGGGAUGGACCUGGAAGCAGAUAGUUCCCCUUCUCCCCCCGCCCCAUCAACACCAUCAUGAUGUAGUGGACUGGGAUGCCUACGAAAAUCCUCACCAUUCUGAAUUAAAGCUCAUCUACCAGGACUGGAGUGCAAUAGCCCAUGCCUUCUCUUAGGCCUUGUCAGUUCCUGAGUUCCUGAGACACUAGAUACUGGGGUACAAGAGAGCCAGUUCUGACUGCAACUGCAAGAUGCGGCAUGAAGCUUCAAACUUAAAAGUGUGGUCCUUUGCAGCAUUGCCUCUGAGUGGAUUGUGAAGAAAAGCUGGACAAAUACAGAUUUUCAGUGUCUGGUUGCAUCAGCAUGGCUGCAGCACACAAUAGGAUAAAGCUUAAACUGGGAAAUAAUGGAAUUAUGCUUUUCUAUUGUAGCUGUCUGUGCCUGCCUACAACACACAAGGUAAACAACUGCUGCCUUCCAGAAUCCCUUAUUGAGCAUGCAUGAACACUAAAUCAGAAAGAAAAGGAGAGAGUGGAUAAACCUGCUUUACUAGCUACUGCCAGAAUGUUUAAAAAAGCACAGAUGUUUAAGUUUGGCCUCCAAAUUGAAAUUAUAAGACAAGUGGAAACUAAUGAAAGAAAAUGCAAUGCUUGUCUUGCCUAGCCGUUUCAUUUCAUUUGUACAAAUUAUUGGUUUUAGAUAAAAGGUUUGCAGGAAAAUGUUGAACUGCUUUUCUGUUUUGUGGUAUAGUAACCUAUC